AAAUUUUUGGCUGGAAAAUUUUAGCGAGAAAUUUAUUUUGAAAUAUUUUAGGCGAAAAAUAUUAAUAUUUCAUUUUGUUAACCUAAAACAAUUUCCAAAUAGGGGUAAAAUGGUCAUUAAAAAAUUAAAGAUGGUAGAAAUAAAAAUGGCAAAUAGGAAAAGGUAGAAUUGAUAAAGGGUACCGUGCAAAGGGCAUUCUGAGCAAUUAUUCAUUUUUUAAACCAAUGAAACUCUUUUAAAUCAAUGAUAUUUGUAGAGAAAGUUGCCUUGCUCAACAGUCUUGCGUUCUUCAGAAUGUAUGUAGCCUCUUCUUUCUCUUCUUCCCUUUCCCAACGGUAUCUUGUCCACACAAAUG
rnacentral:sRNA from 1 species